GAUGAACGCUGGCGGUCUGCUUAACACAUGCAAGUCGAACGGAAUCCCUCGGGAUUCAGUGGCGGACGGGCGAGUAACACGUAAGAACCUGCCUCUAGGACGGGGACAACAGUUGGAGACGACUGCUAAACCCGGAUGAUCCGAAAGGUAAAAGAUUUAUCGCCUAGAGAGGGGCGUGCGUCUGAUUAGCUAGUUGGUAAGGUAAAGGCUUACCAAGGCGACGAUCAGUAGCUGGUCUGAGAGGAUGAUCAGCCACACUGGGACUGAGACACGGCCCAGACUCCUACGGGAGGCAGCAGUGGAGAAUUUUCCGCAAUGGGCGAAAGCCUGACGGAGCAAGUCCGCGUGGAGGAGGAAGGUUCUUGGAUUGUCAGCCCCUUUUCUCAGGGAAGGACAAGAUGACGGUACCUGAGGAAAAAGCAUCGGCUAACUCCGUGCCAGCAGCCGCAGUAAAAC
rnacentral:rRNA from 1 species